CGCGGGGUAGAGCAGUUGGUAGCUCGUCGGGCUCAUAACCCGAAGGUCGGAGGUUCAAGUCCUUCCCCCGCAACCA
rnacentral:tRNA from 1 species